UACCAUGAGCCCUACCCACCUGACAUGUGAGGACCAAUAGGAAGGAGUUCCCAGCCAGUCGUUCAAGGCUUAUAGUGUUGCUGCUGCAUGGAGUAUCCUACAAGGCUUGUAGCAUAGCCCCCUUUGCAUAACGGUAACAAUUGUACUGUUUGCUUGUGGGUUUGAUGAUGGGAUCUCCUCAGAGCCCUAAUUUGGCAGCAAAUCAGCCAGAUUCGACACCUAAGCCAAGAAAACGCUCUAUUAGCACCAGUGCAGAUGAUGAAGGACCUCCUGUGAAAACCUAUGCUGAAGAACAAGCUGAGACAAGGGAAAUAUGGCAAGAGAUCCUGGCAACCAUGGCAGCUGAGCCACAGAAUUCAGCACUUGUGCAAACUUGGAAACGCUCUCGCAUAGCAAUGCAGAAAUUCUUGGGCCUGGAUAUCAAUGAAGAGCCCUAUAGUACCUGGGCGGAGCCUAAGUGAGGGCAAAGUGAAGCCAUAGCCUAGUAAGGGCAAGGAACGAUGGGCAAGGGAAAGCCAGAGCCUAGUAAGGGCAAGUUGAAGCCCUGCCCUUCGAAGGGCAUGAUGACAUCACAGCAGGAAGGAGCCGAAAGCUUCUAACUAAGGGCAGGUUGAAGCCACCGCCUCCUAAGGGUAUAGUGAGACCCUGUGGAGAGCGUCCACACAACAUGGCCAGGCAGACCCCCAUGUCCAGGCAUGUCCAGACAUGCCCAGAGCAGAUGCACAACAAACACCCAUGUUUGGACAUCAGCCCCCCACCCCCCCCCGAACAGGUCUGUGUAUGUUCAGACAUGCACAGAGCAAGGGUUAGGCCAGGCCUGCACAACAUAAGGCCCGGGGACCAGAUCAGGCCCUCAGGGACUUUUUUGUGGGUCCACUGAUUGUCACAACUUGCAGCAACAGCACCCCAAGGCCACUCUUUGGGUUAGUUCCCUCCUCUUCUUCAUCUUUUCAUCCUCUGCCCUCUCUGAAACUGCCUGACAGCACCAUCCUGUGCAUGUUUACUUGGAAAUAUUUACUUAGUUGACUCCUAAGUAAGCACGACUAGGAUUGCAACAUGAAAUCGACAGCAAUUUAGAAAGAGGAGAGGAUUUUGCAUUUGUUUGGGGCUGGCAUUUUUUAAGGGAGAUCUCACUAGAUGCCCCAGUGACUGAGCAAGGACAGGCUCUAUUUUCUGGCCAUGAUUCUUAGUUAAAAUUGUGGGUCCCUUGCCAAAGGGGGGAAAGAUCCACAACUAUCUAAUAAUUGCUUGCAUUAAUAUUUUUAAGAAUUAAUUUUAAUUCAAUAAUGUGCUGAAAAUUGACCUUGACCACUGAACACCAUUGUGGUUGGUUCCAGCCCAUCAAAACAUUUGAAUGGUGUACCCCCCGGGUUAGCCCCAGAGCAGGGUUGUUAUUUUUGUAGAGAGAAAAUAAAAUGCUCUUCAGAUUAACUCAAUAGGGUAUAUUCUAGAUUUUAAGAACUCAUACACAUUAACUUUGUACUAUGGAUUCUGCAGUUGAAAGUUUUCCCACUUUAAAAAGAAAAGUUGCCCUGCAAUUAAUGCUGGAUCAUCUUUUCUUUGUCUCUGUGAUGAGGCUAGCCUGGAGUUUUAUCCUGAGAGGCCCCUGAAACAUCAGCCCUAUCCAUCCUCAGCACUGUACCUCCAGUGACUGUUGCUGGUGUAUAUCUUAUGUUUCUUUUUAGAUUGUGAUCCCUUUGGGGACAGGGAUCCAUCUCAUUUAUUUAUUAUUUCUCUGUGUAAACCUCCCUGUGCCAUUUUUGGAAGGGUGGUAUAGAAAUUGAAUAAAUAAAUAACUAAAAAUGCUUUUUGUGUGUGAUGUAUAAGUAGGACAAUUUCAUACAUUCUGAUAAGUACAGCUUCUUAAAAACAUUAAAAUCAUGAUCUCUUUCGUUAUGCAGUGACAAUGCCUUGCUGUCUAAGAAACAAGGCUU